AUUGAACGCUGGCGGCAGGCUUAACACAUGCAAGUCGAGCGAGCGGCGGACGGGUGAGUAAUGUCUGGGAAACUGACUGAUGGAGUGGGAUAACUACUGGAAACGGUAGCUAAUACCGCAUACCAUCAGAUGUGCCCAGAUGGGAUUAGCUAGUAGGUGGGGUAAUGGCUCACCUAGGCGACGAUCCCUAUCUGGGCUGAGAGGAUGACCAGCCACACUGGAACUGAGACACGGUCAAGCGUCAACAGGUAGGCAGCAGUGGGGAAUAUUGAACAAAGGGCGUGAGCCGGAUGCAGCCAUGCCGCGUGUGUGAAGAAGGCCUUCGGGUUGUAAAGCACUUUCAGCGAGGAGGCGUUACUCGCAGAAGAAGCACCGGCUAACUCCGUGCCAGCAGCCGCGGUAAUUC
rnacentral:rRNA from 1 species